rnacentral:rRNA from 1 species
AUUGAACGCUGGCGGCAUGCUUUACACAUGCAAGUCGAACGGUAACAGGCCGCAAGGUGCUGACGAGUGGCGCACGGGUGAGUAAUGCAUCGGAACGUGCCCAGUCGUGGGGGAUAACUACUCGAAAGAGUAGCUAAUACCGCAUACGAUCUAUGGAUGAAAGCGGGGGACCGUAAGGCCUCGCGCGCUUGGAGCGGCCGAUGUCAGAUUAGGUAGUUGGUGGGGUAAAGGCUCACCAAGCCAACGAUCUGUAGCUGGUCUGAGAGGACAACCAGCCACACUGGGACUGAGACACGGCCCAGACUCCUACGGGAGGCAGCAGUGGGGAAUUUUGGACAAUGGGCGCAAGCCUGAUCCAGCAAUGCCGCGUGCAGGAAGAAGGCCUUCGGGUUGUAAACUGCUUUUGUACGGAACGAAACGGCUCUGGUUAAUACCCGGGGCUAAUGACGGUACCGUAAGAAUAAGCACCGGCUAACUACGUA